rnacentral:rRNA from 1 species
GACAGAGGGGGCAAGCGUUGCUCGGAAUUACUGGGCGUAAAGGGCGCGUAGGCGGCUUGGUAUGUCGGGUGUGAAAUCCCCGGGCUCAACCUGGGAACUGCAUCCGAAACUGCCUUGCUCGAGUAUGGGAGAGGGAAGUGGAAUUUCCGGUGUAGCGGUGAAAUGCGUAGAUAUCGGAAGGAACAUCAGUGGCGAAGGCGACUUCCUGGACCAAUACUGACGCUCAGGUGCGAAAGCGUGGGGAGCAAACAGG